rnacentral:miRNA from 1 species
UGGGUGGACUGUGCACUGCACAACUCGGGAGGUACCAUAUACAUUGUCAUCUUUGUUAAUUGUAAACCCUGGAGUUGUGCAGUGUACAGUAUACAC